rnacentral:rRNA from 1 species
UACGAAGGGGGCUAGCGUUGCUCGGAAUCACUGGGCGUAAAGGGUGCGUAGGCGGGUCUUUAAGUCAGGGGUGAAAUCCUGGAGCUCAACUCCAGAACUGCCUUUGAUACUGAAGAUCUUGAGUCCGGGAGAGGUGAGUGGAACUGCGAGUGUAGAGGUGAAAUUCGUAGAUAUUCGCAAGAACACCAGUGGCGAAGGCGGCUCACUGGCCCGGUACUGACGCUGACGCACGAAAGCGUGGCGAGCAAACAGG